rnacentral:rRNA from 1 species
GACAGAGGGUGCGAACGUUGCUCGGAAUUACUGGGCGUAAAGAGCGUGUAGGCGGCCAAACAGGUCCGUUGUGAAAACUGGAGGCUCAACCUCCAGACGUCGACGGAAACCGUGUGGCUAGAGUCCGGAAGAGGAGAGUGGAAUUCCUGGUGUAGCGGUGAAAUGCGCAGAUAUCAGGAAGAACACCAAUGGCGAAGGCAGCUCUCUGGGACGGUACUGACGCUGAGACGCGAAAGCGUGGGGAGCGAACAGG